rnacentral:rRNA from 1 species
GACGAACCGUGCGAACGUUGUUCGGAAUCACUGGGCUUAAAGGGCGCGUAGGCGGCUUCGCAAGUCCGGGGUGAAAGCCCCCAGCUCAACUGGGGAAGUGCCUCGGAUACUGCGGAGCUCGAGGGAGGUAGGGGCGGAUGGAACUUCCGGUGGAGCGGUGAAAUGCGUUGAUAUCGGGAGGAACGCCGGUGGCGAAAGCGAUCCGCUGGCCCUCUACUGACGCUGAGGCGCGAAAGCCAGGGGAGCAAACGGG